AAAAUCUUUAUUUUUCUUUAUGCACUCCAAUAUUUUUUAUAGCGAAACCACAAAUGUUGCUCUUUUCUGCCGUCUUUUUUUUUGCGGUUCUAAAACUUUUUUUUGCGAGUUGAAAUGUUUUGCUUGCGAGUUAAGCUGUCUCUCAGUGGGCAGUCUCUACCCACCAGGAUGAAAGGCCUUUUCCUAUUGGUCACUCUCGAUUGAAGUCACAGGUUGACCACGCCCACUCAGUUUCCCCGGAAUCCGCUGCACUGCCGCCGCAGUCUGACAGAAGAGCGAGCGAGGGUGCAUCAUGACGAGCAACAGGUCGUGUACUGGGAAGAUUUGGUGUUGAUGGAGGGGGCAACAUCUUCAAGGCAAAACCUUAGACCUGAUGCAACAUCAUCCAGUGUCAAAAUCACCCUUUAGGAGGCACUUGAAGACCAGUGCCCAAUAUGCACAGGAACAUUUCCAGUGUCAGAAGUAGACCUGCCAUGCCAGCUUUUGUGGAGACAGGUAAUGGUAAUAGGGACUCACAUUGAGAAAAAUCCUCCAGAUCCUUCACUUUCUCAGGUUUUCCAGCAUCUUUUGCAUAUUUGAACCCUUUCCAGCAAUGAAUGUAU